GCUGGCAGGGAGUUUAGAGUGAACUACCCAGGCAUCUAAAGAGGGUAGACCGCCCAUCAGGAGAAGGCUGUGCAAACCAGAUGCAAGGAAUCCCCACGAUCGUUGCCUUGAUUUGCACGUGGAGGGGCACACCAUCCCCUUGCGGACAAGAUCAUGCUGUAACUUGUUCUCUAAUAGGACUGGGGAAUAUUUUUCUCAGAAGAACCACUGAGAACCCAUAAGGGACAUUUCUUAAUGACUUACAGGGCAAAAGAUGAGAAAGAAGACAGAAUGAACCAAAAGAAAAAUAAAGAGAGAGGAAGAGAACAGAGAGCUAUAUUCAUCAUGUUUCUUCAAUUCUCAGGAGAUAGGGAGUGAUUCUCAAACUUUAAUUUAUAUAUGGAUCACUUGGAGAUCUUAUUAAAAUGUAGAUUCAGAUCCUG